UGCGCCACGGGGAGCGAUGACGCGCGGCCCAGAUCCGAGUCGCCGGGGCCGCGCCGAGCGACUGGCGAGACCGACCCGCGGGUGA
rnacentral:ncRNA from 1 species